AUGAGCUGUGAAUCUUGUGGACAGAAGACCGGAGUCUCCGGUUGCAGAAGCUAUUCUGCGAGAGUCAGCAUCUUCAUCCAAACAAGAAGAUCACGGAGAGAUAAACACAAGAGCCCCAUCAUCUCGCAUGUGGGGACAAAGGCAACAAAAAACUCUGUGCAAAAGGCUGAUCCUUUGAGAUUUGUAACAAAGGAACAUCAAGAAAAGAAACCAUCUAACUGCUCCCUUGGCAGAAGCACAGCACCAACUGGCAGGAGAACACCUCACCAGGGAAGAAUGACACCUUUUGAAUCAGAAAAAAGUCAGUCAGUGGCAAGGUGUAUUUAG
rnacentral:lncRNA from 1 species